UGGUCAAGUUAUUAAGGGUGCAGGGCGGAUGCCUUGGCACUAGGAGCCGAUGAAGGACGUGAUAAGCUGCGAUAAGCUUCGGGGAGUUGCACGUAAACUUUGAUCCGAAGAUUUCCGAAUGAGGAAACUCACUUAGAGUAAUGUCUAAGUAUCAUUAAGUGAAUACAUAGCUUAAUGAGGGGAACUCAGGGAACUGAAACAUCUAAGUACCUGAAGGAAGAGAAAGAAAUUCGAUUCCGUAAGUAGCGGCGAGCGAACGCGGAUUAGCCCAAACCAAUAAAGUUUUCUUUAUUGGGGUUGCGGACAUAUCAUAACGAAGAGGUAUCGUAAUUGAAGAGGUUUGGAAAGACCCACCACAGAAGGUAAUAGUCCUGUAUGUUAAACGAAAAGACUUUAGAUAUGAUCCAGAGUACCACGGGACACGUGAAACCCUGUGGGAAGCAGGAGGGACCACCCUCCAAGGCUAAAUACUACCUAGUGACCGAUAGCGUAUAGUACCGUGAGGGAAAGGUGAAAAGAACCCCGGGAGGGGAGUGAAAUAGAACCUGAAACCCUGCACUUACAAGCUGUGGAAGCACAUUUCUUGUGUGACCGCGUACUUUUUGUAGAACGGGCCAACGAGUUACGUUAAGUAGCAAGGUUAAGCACUUAAGGUGCGGAGCCGUAGCGAAAGCGAGUUUUAACUGAGCGUUCAGUUACUUGACGUAGACCCGAAACCGGGCGACCUACCCAUGAGCAGGAUGAAGCGAAAGUAAAAUUUCGUGGAGGUCCGAACCCACGAGCGUUGAAAAGCUCGGGGAUGACUUGUGGGUAGCGGUGAAAUUCCAAUCGAGCCCGGAGAUAGCUGGUUCUCCCCGAAAUAGCUUUAGGGCUAGCCUCAAGGUGAGAGAUACGGAGGUAGAGCACUGAAUGUCCUAGGGGGUAUUGCACCUACCGAAGACUAUCAAACUCCGAAUGCCGUCAUCUUAUACUUGGGAGUCAGACUGUGGGUGAUAAGAUUCAUAGUCGAAAGGGCAACAGCCCAGAUCGUCAGCUAAGGUCCCUAAAUGUAAGUUAAGUGGUAAAGGAUGUGGGAUUGCACAGACAACCAGGAUGUUGGCUUAGAAGCAGCCACUCAUUCAAAGAGUGCGUAAUAGCUCACUGGUCGAGUGAUCCUGCGCCGAAGAUUUCCGGGGCUAAAACUUACUACCGAAGCUACGGCAUCAGUAAUGAUGGGUAGGGGAGCUUCCCAUACGGGUUGAAGCAUGACCGUAAGGACAUGUGGACAGUAUGGGAGUGAGAAUGUUGGCAUGAGUAGCGAGAUGUGGGUGAGAAUCCCACAGGCCGUAAACCCAAGGUUUCCAGGGGAAGGUUCGUCCGCCCUGGGUUAGUCGGGACCUAAGCUGAGGCCGAAAGGCGUAGGUGAUGGACAACAGGUUGAUAUUCCUGUACUACCGAUAACCGUUUGAGAGAAGGGAUGACACAGUAGGAUAAGCUAAGCACACUGUUGGUUAUGUGUGCCCAAGCAUUGAGGCAGUCAAAGUAGGCAAAUCCGCUUUGAUAAUGCUGGGAUGUGAUGGGGAGCGAAAUUUAGUAGCGAAGUAGCUGAUUUCACACUGUCAAGAAAAGUCUCUAUCGAGGUUAAAGGUACCCGUACCGCAAACCGACACAGGUGGGUGAGGAGAGUAUCCUAAGGCCAGCGAGAGAACUGUUGUUAAGGAACUCGGCAAAAUGACCCCGUAACUUAGGGAUAAGGGGUGCCACCAUCAGGUGGCCGCAGAGAAUAGGCCCAAGCGACUGUUUACCAAAAACAUAGGUUUCUGCUAAGUCGCAAGACGAUGUAUAGGAGCUGACGCCUGCCCGGUGCUGGAAGGUUAAGGGGAUCUGUUAGAGCAAUCGAAGCAGUGAACUUAAGCCCCAGUAAACGGCGGCCGUAACUAUAACGGUCCUAAGGUAGCGAAAUUCCUUGUCGGGUAAGUUCCGACCCGCACGAAAGGCGUAACGAUUUGGGCACUGUCUCAACAACAGACUCGGUGAAAUUGUAAUUCCGGUGAAGAUGCCGGAUACCUGCGACAGGACGGAAAGACCCCAUGGAGCUUUACUGUAGCUUGACAUUGGGUCUUGGUACUACAUGUACAGGAUAGGUGGGAGGCUUUGAAACCAGGACGCCAGUUUUGGCGGAGCCAUCCUUGGGAUACCACCCUUGUAGUACUGGGACUCUAACCAUAGGCCAUGAAUCUGGUCUUGGGACACUGUCAGGUGGGCAGUUUGACUGGGGCGGUCGCCUCCCAAAAGGUAACGGAGGCGCUCAAAGGUUCUCUCAGUACGGUCGGAAAUCGUACGUAGAGUGUAAAGGCAAAAGAGAGCUUGAUUGCAAGACAUACAGGUCGAGCAAGGAUGAAAAUCGGACUUAGUGAUCCGGUGGUUCUGCGUGGAAGGGCCAUCGCUCAACGGAUAAAAGCUACCCUGGGGAUAACAGGCUUAUCUCCCCCAAGAGUCCACAUCGACGGGGAGGUUUGGCACCUCGAUGUCGGCUCAUCACAUCCUGGGGCUGUAGUAGGUCCCAAGGGUUGGGCUGUUCGCCCAUUAAAGUGGUACGCGAGCUGGGUUCAGAACGUCGUGAGACAGUUCGGUCCCUAUCCGUCGCAGGCGUAGGAAAUUUGAGAAGACCUGUCCUUAGUACGAGAGGACCGGGAUGGACGUACCUCUGGUGUACCAGUUGUCCUGCCAAGGGCAUGGCUGGGUAGCUAUGUACGGAAUGGAUAAGCGCUGAAAGCAUCUAAGCGCGAAGCCAACUUCAAGAUAAGAUUUCCCACCGCAAGGGUAAGACCCCAGAAAGACUAUCUGGUUGAUAGGUCGAAGGUGUAAGUGCAGCAAUGUAUUUAGCUUAUCGAUACUAAUAGGUCGAGGACUUGACCAAG
rnacentral:rRNA from 1 species